UGGCCUAGUGGUAAGGCCUUGGAUUGCCAAUCCGGAGACGGCGGGUUCGACUCCGGU
rnacentral:tRNA from 1 species